AGUGGCGCACGGGUGCGUAACGCGUAUGCAACCUACCUUAAUCAGGGGGAUAGCCCGAAGAAAUUCGGAUUAACACCGCAUAAAAUCACAGCACAGCAUUGUGCAAUGAUCAAAUAUUUAUAGGAUUAAGAUGGGCAUGCGUGACAUUAGUUAGUUGGCGGGGUAACGGCCCACCAAGACCACGAUGUCUAGGGGAUCUGAGAGGAUGACCCCCCACACUGGUACUGAGACACGGACCAGACUCC
rnacentral:rRNA from 1 species